UCUUCAUGGCCUUUUCACUGGUGGUUGAUUGCGAACGAAACAAAGGUUUGCCCAGGUCUCUUCAACUCUACCAAGUUUAUAAUAAUUCUGAUGCUGUGGCAUCACAAAGGAAGUGUCAGGUGGUAAUUACUACUCCUUUGAAUUUGUCACAUUUCCUCAAAUGAUACCAAGAUCACAUACCUUAGAAUUUUCAAUAGUCAGUUUUUAAAAUCAUGUACUGUGUUUUGCAGAGGCUAAGAAAAGCACUCUUUAACCCAAUGGUGUCCAAACUCAGUCUUUCAGGGAAACUGUCCUAUAUGUUUUAGAUUUCUUCCUGAUUCAACACACUUGAAUCAAAUGGUGCUUUGUUACCAGGCCUCUGUGGAGCAUACUAAGGAGGUAGGUUCAAGUAUAUAAAUCAGCUGUGUUGGAUCAGGACACUAGAGGACUGGAGCUGCAUAGCUCUAUUCUAACAUUUCAAAUCAGCCAAGUUUUGGUGGAUAAUAAUCCCAAAUUAUUCUAGCUUUUGGCAGAUAUAGAUUUAAUGGAAUCUUUUAAUUUUACCAACAUUUAUUUUUGUGCUUUUAACAUCUUGGAGUGUGGUCAGCCAGAAGUUAGACCAAAAUGCGAUAGAGAAUCAGUAAAGGAAAAUAAAGAUUAGGCUGAUGGUAAGAUGGUCGUCCAAGAGUCAAAAUGUAAGUGGAAACACAUUUUGCUUGGGGCCCAAUAGAUCUUUGCUCCGGCCCUGGAUACAGUGAAAGGUUUUAGGGAAAAGUGACACUGACAUAUGCAUGCUGUGAUUCACCGGGGAAGAUAAUAAUUUUUUUUAUAAAUUUCCUUGAAAACGACCAAGCAGUAUAUAGGUCUACAGAAUCCAUAAACAGACAAAAAUGCGUGAAUAAUGACUGACUCACUCAGGACAAUUUGAAUGCAAAUUUUAUUUCGGCAUAAAAAAAAACUCCCGUGGAAAAACCCCGAAGCUUGCCUGGACGUUCAGGAAGUAGCACACUGUUCAAGAUACACAGCAGCAGAAACAGCAGCAGAGAGCCAGCUCAGUGUGACAUGCAAGCGGAUUUCUUUACAGCUCGUCUGGUUGCUGUUCAACUCCUUCAAAUCUGAGAAGAAGAUAGAAACCUCUUGAUCAUCGGCAACCGAGUUUGUCCAUGGCAAUCAUGAUGGCAGCUGCAAUACUCAAGCUCUACGCCAUUGGAACAGCACUCUCUGUACUUGCAUUUAUUUAUGGGAUUGCUGAUUCCUUCGGGGGACUCAUGUAUACCCAGAACCACCACUAUAUCCAUGGACUGGACCACCAGUCACAGAUGCAGAUCCAAUCCAGGACCGACCUGCGAGGACCGUCUGUGUCUAGAAACAUUGGCUCAUAAGAGACUUUGUGAUGCUGAAUGUGUUGGAUCUUUUCUUCACUUUGAAGAGACUUGAACUGUAUAUAUCAGUAUUCCCAAGGGAUGUUUUUGUAUGUUUUUCCAUCUACUGUUAAAAAUUGUUGUGCCACUAUUUUUUAGAACAACUACAAAGCUGUAACAGAAAUGGCAGCACUACUGAACGACUUGCACUAAAACUAUAAUGUUUUUGUAGCUGUUUCUGAAAUAAAAUCUUUUCUUCUUAA